rnacentral:lncRNA from 1 species
GUUUUCAUGGAAGACCUACAGAGAAAAUAGAUAGCAGAAGAAAGAAAGUUUUUUUUAGAAACUGCUAUCGUUGGAAACGCUGGGACAGUGAUGUGAAGAGACAAUAGAUUUUGGAGUCCAGCUGUUGAUGUUGACUAGAUUAGGGAUUAGGUUUCUUUUUAUUUAUUUUAUUUUGUUUUUUGGGCCAUUUUUCCGUUGUUGCAACAUUGGGCUGCUCUUUGCAUUUUGUUUUCAUUAUUUUUUCUUUUGGGUUUAAAUCCAGUGAUUCUAGGAACUAUUUUAAAUUUGUUUUUUGGUUUGUUUUUAUGCUUUAAUAAAUAUCCAGUCGAUUUAUUCAAAAAAAUAUUAUUUUAAUUAACAUCACUAAGAAAC